rnacentral:rRNA from 1 species
UGCAAGUCGAACGAUAUUAAGGGGCUUGCUCCUUAAGAAAGUGGCGCACGGGUGCGUAACGCGUAUGCAACCUACCUUAAUCUGGGGGAUAGCCCGGAGAAAUCCGGAUUAAUACCGCAUAAAAUCACAGGAUGGCAUUAUCCAAUGAUCAAACAUUUAUGGGAUUGAGAUGGGCAUGCGUGUCAUUAGCUAGUUGGCGGGGUAACGGCCCACCAAGGCGACGAUGACUAGGGGAUCUGAGAGGAUGGCCCCCCACACUGGUACUGAGACACGGACCAGACUCCUACGGGAGGCAGCAGUAAGGAAUAUUGGUCAAUGGAGGCAACUCUGAACCAGCCAUGCCGCGUGCAGGAAGACUGCCCUAUGGGUUGUAAACUGCUUUUAUCCGGGAAUAAACCUGCUUACGUGUAAGUAGCUGAAUGUACCGGAAGAAUAAGGAUCGGCUAACUCCGUGCCAGCAGCCGCGGUAAUACGGAGGAUCCAAGCGUUAUCCGGAUUUAUUGGGUUUAAAGGGUGCGUAGGCGGCCUGUUAAGUCAGGGGUGAAAGACGGUAGCUCAACUAUCGCAGUGCCCUUGAUACUGAUGGGCUUGAAUGGACUAGAGGUAGGCGGAAUGAGACAAGUAGCGGUGAAAUGCAUAGAUAUGUCUCAGAACACCGAUUGCGAAGGCAGCUUACUAUGGUCUUAUUGACGCUGAGGCACGAAAGCGUGGGGAUCAAACAGGAUUAGAUACCCCUGGUAGUCCACGCCCUAAACGAUGAACACUCGCUGUUGGCGAUACACAGUCAGCGGCUAAGCGAA